GCCACGGUGGUCUAGCGGUUAGAACGCUGGCCUUGUAAUCCUGAGUUCUCGGGUUCGAUUCCCGGCGGUGCCC
rnacentral:tRNA from 1 species